rnacentral:rRNA from 1 species
GCUCUUUGUGUCGGGGGACUAAGAAGGGAGCAGAGAGGGUUUAGCGGCGGUGGGUGGAGGAGGAGAAGGAGGAGGCUGCUGGAGCGGCGGCCAGGGGGGAGGGGAGGAGGGCGGAACCCCGAGGCCUCCGACGGCCUAGGUGGUGUAGGGCGUGGGUUAGGGAGAGUGUAGAGUAGACAGAGAAGUGUGCCGAGCAGCAACGCGGUGGACGCCACCGACAAACUUUGCUGCAUGCCACUUAGGGCGGUGGCGCUUCGUGUCCGACUCCAGGGGAGCGUGGUGCCGCGGGAGGGUGGGCUAAUCUAGGCCGCGAGUGCCGGUAGUUUCGGGUGGGCACUGGGAUGGGGUACCGAUCCCAAAGUCCUUAGCCGAGGCCGGAGGCCGUGGUCACCGGUACAGCAGUAGGAGAGCAGGCUACACGUUCAUCCUUGCUGGUCACCUAUCGGAAUGACGUCAAACCCCGCAUCGGUGCAACGAAGGAGGAGACCGAAGUCCACUACAGGAACUAGAUGG